UCUUAUGAAUGGACAAAAAAUGUAGUUUCUUGAAAUGGAAUCCACUCCUGGUGAAGAUGCUAUGAA
rnacentral:pre_miRNA from 1 species